UGGCGUGUCUAGGUAAGAGGCUGUUCAGAGCAGUCUUGGCAAGUGAGGAAGAAAGCUCUCCAUCAAUGCGGCUUCAAUGAGAGGUGAUUGAGGAGAAGCUGAUGAAUCCAUUCUGCCCUUCCAAGAAGUUGAUGAUGCCAUGAAGAUGGUGCAUUGGCCGAGUUAGAAAACUCACAAAAACACAAGGGAAGUUCCCUUAGACUUUUUUAAACUCUUUCUUCAAUCUUUUUCAUUCAUCUUAUUCAUUGCUUGUGCUUGAAAAGAUACUUAAGAUGAUCAUGAUUGAAUUAUGGGAUUGUGUGCAUCAAGUGUGAUGCAGGAUAUUCAUUUUCUUGUUUUUAAUAGGUACUGAUGCACCUUUGGGAUAAUGAAUCAGGUACCAUUGCUUGUAGCCUCAUUAAACAGUUCCGGGGAAUCUCCUAGCUUCUCUAAAGGGGCUGUGAAGUCUGUUGAGAGGGGGAGACCCUAAACCUAGUCUAUGAAGAGGGCAAGCCGAGCGUGAAGUAUUGAUCAGCCUCACUAGUGUUUUGAAGAUGAUCUGGUCGUGUCCUAGCU
rnacentral:lncRNA from 1 species